GACGAACGCUGACGGCGUGCUUAACACAUGCAAGUCGAACGGAAAGGCCCUGCUUUUGUGGGGUGCUCGAGUGGCGAACGGGUGAGUAACACGUGAGUAACCUGCCCUUGACUUUGGGAUAACUUCAGGAAACUGGGGCUAAUACCGGAUAGGAGCUCCUGCUGCAUGGUGGGGGUUGGAAAGUUUCGGCGGUUGGGGAUGGACUCGCGGCUUAUCAGCUUGUUGGUGGGGUAGUGGCUUACCAAGGCUUUGACGGGUAGCCGGCCUGAGAGGGUGACCGGCCACAUUGGGACUGAGAUACGGCCCAGACUCCUACGGGAGGCAGCAGUGGGGAAUAUUGCACAAUGGGCGGAAGCCUGAUGCAGCAACGCCGCGUGCGGGAUGACGGCCUUCGGGUUGUAAACCGCUUUCGCCUGUGACGAAGCGUGAGUGACGGUAAUGGGUAAAGAAGCACCGGCUAACUACGUGCCAGCAGCCGCGGUGAUACGUAGGGUGCGAGCGUUGUCCGGAUUUAUUGGGCGUAAAGGGCUCGUAGGUGGUUGAUCGCGUCGGAAGUGUAAUCUUGGGGCUUAACCCUGAGCGUGCUUUCGAUACGGGUUGACUUGAGGAAGGUAGGGGAGAAUGGAAUUCCUGGUGGAGCGGUGGAAUGCGCAGAUAUCAGGAGGAACACCAGUGGCGAAGGCGGUUCUCUGGGCCUUUCCUGACGCUGAGGAGCGAAGGCGUGGGGAGCGAACAGGCUUAGAUACCCUGGUAGUCCACGCUGUAAACGGUGGGUACUAGGUGUGGGGUCCAUUCCACGGGUUCCGUGCCGUAGCUAACGCUUUAAGUACCCCGCCUGGGGAGUACGGCCGCAAGGCUAAAACUCAAAGGAAUUGACGGGGCCCCGCACAAGCGGCGGAGCAUGCGGAUUAAUUCGAUGCAACGCGUAGAACCUUACCUGGGUUUGACAUGGAUCGGGAGUGCUCAGAGAUGGGUGUGCCUCUUUUGGGGUCGGUUCACAGGUGGUGCAUGGCUGUCGUCAGCUCGUGUCGUGAGAUGUUGGGUUAAGUCCCGCAACGAGCGCAACCCUUGUUCACUGUUGCCAGCACGUUAUGGUGGGGACUCAGUGGAGACCGCCGGGGUCAACUCGGAGGAAGGUGGGGAUGACGUCAAGUCAUCAUGCCCCUUAUGUCCAGGGCUUCACGCAUGCUACAAUGGCUGGUACAGAGAGUGGCGAGCCUGUGAGGGUGAGCGAAUCUCGGAAAGCCGGUCUCAGUUCGGAUUGGGGUCUGCAACUCGACCUCAUGAAGUCGGAGUCGCUAGUAAUCGCAGAUCAGCAACGCUGCGGUGAAUACGUUCCCGGG
rnacentral:rRNA from 1 species